GUACCGUGAGGGAAAGAUGAAAAGAACUUUGAAAAGAGAGUUAAACAGUACGUGAAAUUGUUGAAAGGGAAACGAUUGAAGUCAGUCAUACCAACGGGAAAUCAACCUUUUGAGCUUGGUCUCGUGGGUUUUGAAGAGUUUCAAAGCCUUCGGAUUCGCGGGAUUGGGAUCUCUUGGUGUACUUUUUCGUACGGUUAGUCAACAUCGGUUUUGAAUGUCAUAAAAUGAUUGGGGGAAUGUAGCUUCAAUCUCGUAUUGAAGUGUUAUAGCCUUUGGUAGAUGUGAUGUUUGAGACCGAGGAUUGCAACGGAUACCCUUCAGGGCUAUUCGUCUGAUCUCUGAUACGUUGCCUUGAUGUUGAAAGCUUGCUUAUGAUGUUAGGGUAUUACGGUCAAAAGGUUAGAACGAAUUACAUUCGUUAAGG
rnacentral:rRNA from 1 species